UGUCAAUUUGUACCUCUCUAUCUACAAUAUUCCGUGAUUUAUUCAGUUUUCAAAUUUAUACUGACUUUUUGAUCACCCGAUAUAAUUAGUGACAGAAAACUGAUAGUGCAUCACAAUAACAAGAGCAAACAAGAUGAAAAGUGGGAAGAAAAAAGAUCGGAACAUAAAAACAUGCUUAUGUUUCAUAGAGUUUCGUAGGGUUACCUCCAGCAUGCAACCAGAUAGCAGGACAUGCAGGUGUCAACUGAAAAUGCGGACAACUAUUCCACUGAUGAUGCCUUAAAGUGAAAGAAAGGUGAAAUGUGCCUUGGAGAACUGAAAUACGGUGCAGCAAAGGAAGGUGUGCUUUAUUUACGAAACAAAUAUUGGUAUGGACUAUCUACAUAUACAGUAUGUUGUUUAAGUUCAUGCAAUAAAUGUUCAGUGUUGUUUAAUUCUGUGGAUAAAUAUUUGUAGUAUACUAAAGCAAGUAACGGUAAAGAAUAUAAUUAAAAACUAAAA